rnacentral:tRNA from 1 species
GGUGGCUCAGUGGUAGAACGCUUGCCUUGCAUGCAUGAGACCCUGGGUUCGAUUCCCCAGCACCA